rnacentral:lncRNA from 1 species
AUGAUAACGGUUCUAAACACCUUUGACUUGAUUCAGCAUGUGCAUGGACCCACACACAAAGGUGGACACACUCUGGAUCUAAUCAUCAUUAGGGGUCUAAACAUUUCAUCCAUUGUUAUUAAGGACGUAGCACUAUCUGAUCACUUCUGUAUUUUCUUUGAUAUAUUGAUCUCUGCUACCACUGAAUCUAGAUCUGUCUCUGUCAGAAGGAGAUGCAUAAACAAGAACACAAGUGUACUAUUUAUGGAGGCUAUAUCUUUAACACCAAGCAUUUCUGCAGACUCUGUUGAUAUUCUCCUUGAUUCCUUCAACUCAAAAGUUAAGAAUGUUAUUGAUGAUAUUGCACCAAUAAUAGUGAGUAAGAAAACAAACAGACAGAAAUCAGUUUGGAGAAGAUCAACAGCAGUUCAGACUAUGAAAAGACAAUGCAGAAAAGCCGACGAGCGGAUGUGGAGGAAGACGAAACUUGAAAUUCACUAUAGCAUCUAUAAAGACAUCCUUCAUGCUUUUAAUGUGAAACUAGCCACAGCUAGACAGAACUUCUUCUCAAACCUAAUAAACAGUAACUUAAAUAACACUCUUACUCUUUUUGCCACUGUUGAGAGACUGACAAACCCCCCAUGUCAGAUUCCCAGUGAUAUGCUAUCAGACAGCAAAUGCAAUGAGUUUGCUUCUUUCUUUUCUGAGAAGAUCAUAAAUAUCAGGAAGGCGAUUAGCACAUCCUCAAGUAAUGCAGAGGUCAGACAGAUUCGGCCAAAAUAUCAAAAAGAUACUAUGUCUAUUUUUGAAAAAAUUGAUAGCAAAAUUCUGGAAGACAUAGUGCAGCAACUAAAAUCAUCAACCUGUUGUCUUGACACACUUCCCACAUCUUUUUUCAAAAGUGUGCUUGACUGCUUAAAAGCAGAUCUCUUAGAAGUGGUGAAUGCCUCACUUCUUUCUGGGACAUUUCCAAACUCCCUAAAAACUGCAGUUGUAAAGCCCCUCCUGAAAAAGACCAAUCUUGAUAACACAAUUUUGAGCAAUUUUAGACCAAUAUCUAAUCUUCCUUUUAUAGGCAAAAUUAUAGAAAAGGUAGUUUUUAAUCAGCUGAACAAAUACUUAAACUCAAAUGGAUACCUAGACAUUUUCAAUCUGGUUUCCGACCACAUCACAGCACAGAGACAGCACUCAUUAAGAUAA